rnacentral:rRNA from 1 species
ACACAUGCAAGUCGAGCGGUAACAGAUCCAGCUUGCUGGAUGCUGACGAGCGGCGGACGGGUGAGUAAUGCAUAGGAAUCUGCCCGAUAGUGGGGGAUAACCUGGGGAAACCCAGGCUAAUACCGCAUACGUCCUACGGGAGAAAGGGGGCUCCGGCUCCCGCUAUGGGAUGAGCCUAUGUCGGAUUAGCUAGUUGGUGAGGUAACGGCUCACCAAGGCCACGAUCCGUAGCUGGUCUGAGAGGAUGAUCAGCCACAUCGGGACUGAGACACGGCCCGAACUCCUACGGGAGGCAGCAGUGGGGAAUAUUGGACAAUGGGGGCAACCCUGAUCCAGCCAUGCCGCGUGUGUGAAGAAGGCCCUCGGGUUGUAAAGCACUUUCAGCGAGGAAGAACGCCUAGCGGUUAAUACCCGCUAGGAAAGACAUCACUCGCAGAAGAAGCACCGGCUAACUCCGUGCCAGCAGCCGCGGUAAUACGGAGGGUGCAAGCGUUAAUCGGAAUUACUGGGCGUAAAGCGCGCGUAGGUGGCUUGAUAAGCCGGUUGUGAAAGCCCCGGGCUCAACCUGGGAACGGCAUCCGGAACUGUCAAGCUAGAGUGCAGGAGAGGAAGGUAGAAUUCCCGGUGUAGCGGUGAAAUGCGUAGAGAUCGGGAGGAAUACCAGUGGCGAAGGCGGCCUUCUGGACUGACACUGACACUGAGGUGCGAAAGCGUGGGUAGCAAACAGGAUUAGAUACCCUGGUAGUCCACGCCGUAAACGAUGUCGACCAGCCGUUGGGUGCCUAGCGCACUUUGUGGCG